AGUAAAAUGGCUGAUCAUAGGUGAUAAAUUGUAAAUUUAUUUAUAAAGAAUUUUUUUUUACUA
rnacentral:tRNA from 2 species